AUAUAAUUAGUAAAUACAGUUCUCUAUUUUGCCCAACUAUUAUCAUCUCUCUUUGUUAAGAUAGUAACUAUACACGCUCCAAGUUUAGCUGGAUUUUUGUACUACUCCCUUCCGUCUAUCUUAAUUAUUUUUUUAUAGUUUAUAAUAUUUGAUUUUUUCACAUAUUAAAAAGAAUUUUUUUUAAAGUUAUCACUAAAUAAAAGCCGAAAUAUAUUUAUUAUAUUUUAAUAAACAAACUAUAUGAUCGAUUUUAUU
rnacentral:lncRNA from 1 species